ensembl:Y_RNA Y_RNA Y RNA
GGUGGUCCGAGUGCAGUGAUGUUUACAGCUAAUCGGUCACAACCAGUUACAGACUUCUUUAUUCCUUCUCCAUUCCCACUGCUUCGCUUGAGUAGUCAAAA